AGUGAACGCUGGCGGUAUGCCUAAUACAUGCGAGUCGAACGGCAGCACAGUAAGAUCUUGCCCUUACGGUUAGCGACUGGCGGGCGGGUGAGACGUACAUCGGCAUCUACUUUUUCUGGGGUGAUAACGUGGGGAAACUUACGCUACCACCUCAUACGUCGUACCGGUUAAAGCAAUAGAGCAUCGCACCUUUGCCGACUGUAAUAGCUGAUUCCGGGUCGCCUUAGCUAGUUGGUAAGGUAACGGCUCACCAAGGCGACGAUGCGUAGCCGACCUGAGAGGGUGAUCAGCCACACUGGAACUGAGACACGGUCCAGACUCCUACGGGAGGCAGCAGUGGGGAAUAUUGCGCAAUGGGCGAAAGCCUGACCCAGCCACGCCGCGUGAGUGAAGAAGGCCUUCGGGUCGUAAAGCCCUUUUGUUGGGAAAGAAAAGAAGUGGGUUAAUCCCCCGCUGUUCUGACGGUACCCAAACAGUAAGCAACGGCUAACUUCGUG
rnacentral:rRNA from 1 species